AGCGAACGCUGGCGGCAGGCUUAACACAUGCAAGUCGAGCGGGUGUAGCAAUACAUCAGCGGCAGACGGGUGAGUAACGCGUGGGAACAUACCUUUUGGUUCGGAACAACCCAGGGAAACUUGGGCUAAUACCGGAUAAGCCCUUACGGGGAAAGAUUUAUCGCCGAAAGAUUGGCCCGCGUCUGAUUAGCUAGUUGGUGAGGUAAUGGCUCACCAAGGCGACGAUCAGUAGCUGGUCUGAGAGGAUGAUCAGCCACAUUGGGACUGAGACACGGCCCAAACUCCUACGGGAGGCAGCAGUGGGGAAUAUUGGACAAUGGGGGCAACCCUGAUCCAGCCAUGCCGCGUGAGGGAUGAAGGCCUUCGGGUUGUAAACCUCUUUUGUCAGGGACGAUGAUGACGGUACCUGGCGAAUAAGCCACGGCUAACUACGUGCCAGCCGCCGCAGUAA
rnacentral:rRNA from 1 species